rnacentral:rRNA from 1 species
UACGUAGGUGGCAAGCGUUGUCCGGAUUUACUGGGCGUAAAGGAUGCGUAGGCGGACAUUUAAGUCAGAUGUGAAAUACCCGAGCUUAACUUGGGUGCUGCAUUUUGAAACUGGGUGUCUAGAGUGCAGGAGAGGUAAAGUGGAAUUCCUAGUGUAGCGGAUGAAAUGCGUAGAGAUUAGGAAGAACGCAGUGGAAAGGCGACUUCUGGACUGUAACUGACUGAGGCAUAAAAGCGUGGGGGAGCAAAACGG